rnacentral:rRNA from 1 species
UACAGAGGGUGCGAGCGUUGUUCGGAAUUACUGGGCGUAAAGCGCGCGCAGGCGGCCUUUUAAGUCUACCCGUGAAAUGCCGGGGCUCAACUCCGUGCACGCCGGGGGAUACUGGGAGGCUGGAGACAUGUAGAGGCAAGCGGAAUUCCGGGUGUAGCGGUGGAAUGCGUAGAGAUCCGGAAGAACACCUGAGGCGAAGGCGGCUUGCUGGGCAUGAUCUGACACUGAGGCGCGAAAGCGUGGGGAGCGAACAGG